rnacentral:lncRNA from 1 species
UCGGUGAUAGAUGGCAAUAUCGGGGUUGCAAGCUGGGGUGGCAAUGGGAGGUGCGGCAUCAGUGUCAGGGGCUUGGGAGAUGGAACUUUUGGAGGGAUCAUGUGGAAGGGCAGCAUACCCUCUUCACCGCAGGUAUGUUAAUGGAUCUGAUGGCCCGGGGUAGAUCGACAGCUCUGGGAUGGCCCAGCCGCUUAUCGACGCAUCCUUCUCCUUCCUACCUCCGACCCUGGUGCGGGUACCUGCAGAAGGGCUCGAAAGAAUCGGUUCAAGGCUUCGAUCGCGCGAUAAGGGAAGCGGCUUGACAGAGGAACGACCGAUUCUUGCUCGAGCGGGCGGGGUGGAUCAUCCAGCGGGACGCGUGGCCAUCACCGCAGAGAAUUUUUCUUCCUAAAACAAACCUCCCCAGUCCCCACGUCCACGCCUAUAAUUAACCUUCCCUCUAUGUUUUAACCGCACAACCCUGAUCCUCACAAUCUUACCCAGCAGUUUCCUAGCGAUUAGGUUGUCAGCGUUCCUCUUGGACCGGUGGCUGCCUGCUCCUAUAUGUGUUCCAUCUCGUGCUGCUCCAGUCCAUGGAGAUCUUGAGUCCUGAUCUCCCCCGUGAGGCUGCAUCACCUUGUUCCUACCAUUGGCGCCCGCUACCCUCGUUGUGCUCCACCCAGCGGCGAACUCUUUCAGAUGCAGUGGCGUACGUAGAGCAUUCAAGCGGCGGCGGCGGCCAAAUCUGAGCUAUUUUGCUGCCCUGCCCCUCGAUGGCUCUCUGAUUGGCAUCUGCAUCGCAUCUCCAUCCUGAGGUAUUCGUAUUUUCCUCCACUUGGUUUUGGUUUGUCCUGAUCUGUUAGAAACCAAUUGAAUGAUCUUCAGUCCGCAAUCCAUAUGUAGAUGGCAUGAGAGGAAUAAGAAACAAUUGACGCACACAAUAUUUGGUUGUGCUGUAUUCCUAAUUGUAAGCCUCCUCCCUCAUUUCAGAUUUUACCACUAAGGUCACCGAUUCUUAUGUCCUGCUAUGAAUCUUUGGAUAUAACAAUUAUUGGGUGCCCGAUACUAGAUGCCUAAUGGACGGAAAUGUUUGACCUAGUGAUAAUUAUUUCUGAGGCAACCCAACUUCAGUGCAUGCCUUAAACCCCGGAAAAGGGUUGACCUAACAUAAAUCGUUUGUGUGGCAACCCUUCCCCACAGCAUGCCUUAAUCGUUGGAAUACAACAUGCCUUAAUCGUUGGAAUACAUGUAUAGUGUAGGACCACACGUUGUACAUAAGAGUAGCAUGAGGAUGUUGAAAAAACUUCAGAUUAUGAACAAGAGAUUUGGCCUAUAUCCAAAUAUAGACCGGUUUCGCAAGUGUGCAUGUAGAAACACUCCAUCACUGAUAACAAGAUUGCCUAUACAUAAAAGGCAUUACAUUCAUACUAUCGUAUAUGUAACCCUCUCAUAAAUAGUUCCUACCAUAAUUCAGGGCUUGGAUAUCCCUAGACGGGAUAACCAACCCUCUCAGUAGUAGUUCCUCACCGCACUCCUCCACAGCGUAUUCUGCAAUGAUGCUUAAGCCAAGAGACUGUCUUUUGAUGAAUACUUGGAUUAUUAUCGCCCAUGCGAGGUCUUGCAGACUGCUUUUGACAUUUGCGAAAGCAGUGCCACGAAGAUAGAAAACCGUGACAAUGGAUUGGUAGUCGAUAAGAACGACAAGAAGGUCAAAUGUAUUUACUUUUUUCAUGGUGUAUUUCAUGGUUUUUUAAUUUGAGGACACAAUAUUAAUUAGCACGAGUAUCUUUGCAUGGGAGGUGGCAAGACCCAUUCAAAAGCUUAUGACCUAUGUCAAGAAAUCAAAAUUUUAUGAGCAGUAUACGAUGCGAGGAGUUGUGUCUUGUAGAAGUGGAGCUACCAUAUAAACUAGCUAGGAAUUUGGGAGCUACCAUAUAAACUAGCCAGGAAUCUUGUAGAAGGGGAGCUACCAUAUAAAUCGAAAAACUGACCUAUGUCUGGAAGCCAUUCCUAGCUAGUUUAUCUGGGAGCUCCCCUUCUACAAGACACAACUCCUUGUAUCAUAUAUUGCUCAUCAAUUCUUCAAUUUCCUUGACAUAGGUCAUCUUGCCACCUCCUAUGCAAAGAUACUUGCGGUAAUUAAUAAUGUGUCAUCAAAUAAAACAAUCCAUCAAAUACACCAUGAAAAAAGUAAAUCCAUAUGGUCUUCUUUUCAUUCUUAUCGACUACCAAUCCAUUGUCGCGAUUUUCUAUUUUCGUGGCACUACUUUCGCCAAUGUCAGGAACAUUACGCAAGCCCUUUCAUUGGCGAUUAUAAUCCCAGUAUUCAUCAAAAGACAUGUCUUUUGGCUGAGGCAUCGUUGCAAACUAGGCUAUGGAGUGUGGCGAGGACUACUACUAAGAGGGUUGCUUAUCCUGCCGAGAGAUAUCCAAGCCCUGAAUUUUGGUAGGAACUAUUUAUGAGAGGGUGACAUAUACAAUAGUAUGAACGCAAUGCCUUAUAUAUAUAGGAAAUCUUGUUAUUAAUGAGGGAGAGUUUCUACAUGCACACUUCGAAAACUAGUCUAUAUUUGGGUAUAGGCCAAAUCCCUUGUUCAUAAUUCGAUGUUUUUCAACAUCCUAAUGCUACAGUUACGUGCAACGUGUGGUCCUAAGCUAUUCAUGUGUUCGCACGUGUGGUCCUAAGCUAUUCAUGUGUUCCAGCUAUUAAGGCAUGCUGCAGGGGAGAGUUGCCAGUUGCCACACAGACGAUUUAUACUGGGUCAACCUUUUUGGGGUUUAAGGCAUGCACUAAAGCAGGGUUGCCUCACAAACAAUUAUCAGUGGGUCAACCAUUUCCAUUGAUUAAAACAUGCAGUGGAACAGUCACUCAUAGAUCCCGAAAAUCCAACUGGGACUAACUAUUUGAGACAAAAGGGGGUCUUUUAGUCCCGAGUCAUUCAUCCGGGACUAAAGAUACCCUUUAGUCCCGUUGGUAACACCAACCAGGACUAAAAAAUUUCAUAAGAAAAAGGUCACAGCGCCGGCCUCCCGUGCCCCCGCCUGUGCCCGCUCGGCCGCCCGUGCCCACGCCGGAGCCACCUGCUCCCCUGCCUGCCUGGAAGAAAGGGAGAGGAGGAGGGAGAGGAAGAGUAGGGAGAAGAGAUAAGUGGGAGAGGAGCUACCUAUCGUGCAAGAUAAAGAAAGGGAGGCGAGGAGAUAAGGUGGAGACAGGGGCGGGAGGCGCGCGUGAAAAGGCCGG